AUCCCACAACAAGUUACAAGGCAAUAUUCCAGAAUCAAUUUUUAGCCUUCUAAACCUUACUGACUUAGAUCUAUCAUCAAACAAUUUAAGUGGAUCUGUCAAAUUUCAUCAUUUCUCCAAGCUUCAAAAUUUGAAAGAACUUCAACUUUCACAGAAUGAUCAGUUAUCACUAAAUUUCAAAUCAAAUGUCAGUUAUAGUUUCUCCAAUUUAUUGAGUUUGGACUUAUCUUCUAUGGGUUUAACUGAAUUUCCAAAAUUAUCGGGAAAAGUCCCAAUCUUGGAAUCACUCUAUUUGUCCAAUAACAAACUUAAAGGUAGAGUGCCAAAUUGGUUCCAUGAAAUAUCGUUAUAUGAAUUGGACCUCUCUCAUAACCUAUUGACACAAUCAUUGGACCAAUUCUCGUGGAACCAACAACUCGGUUACCUUGAUCUUAGUUUUAACUCAAUCACUGGUGACUUCUCUUCCUCAAUUUGCAAUGCAAGUGCAAUUGAGAUUCUCAACUUGUCUCACAACAAGUUGACAGGAACCAUUCCACAAUGCCUUGCUAACUCAUCAUCCCUUCAAGUUUUGGAUCUACAACUGAACAAGCUUCAUGGCACUUUGCCAAGUACCUUUGCAAAGGACUGUUGGCUCAGAACUCUGGAUCUCAAUGGCAACCAAUUAUUAGAAGGUUUUUUGCCAGAAUCUUUGUCCAAUUGCAUUAAUCUGGAGGUUUUAGAUCUUGGAAACAAUCAAAUAAAGGAUGUGUUUCCCCAUUGGCUUCAAAUUCUACCAGAAUUGAAAGUAUUGGUUUUGCGAGCCAACAAGUUGUACGGUCCCAUUGCCGGUUUAAAGACCAAACACGGAUUCCCCAGUUUAGUCAUUUUUGAUGUCUCUUCCAACAACUUCAGCGGCCCAAUACCAAAAGCCUACAUUAAAACAUUUGAAGCGAUGAAGAACGUUGCUCUACAUGCCUAUAGCCAAUACAUGGAAGUUUCUGUAAAUGCUUCUUCUGGACCCAACUACACUGAUUCUGUGACUAUAACAACAAAAGCAAUUACUAUGACAAUGGACAGAAUUCGAAAUGACUUUGUAAGCAUUGAUUUAUCCCAAAACAGAUUUGAAGGAGAGAUUCCAAGUGUCAUUGGGGAACUUCAUUCACUCAGAGGGCUAAACCUUUCCCAUAACAGACUUAUUGGUCCUAUUCCCCAAUCCGUGGGAAAUUUGAGAAACUUAGAAUCGUUGGAUCUCUCCUCAAAUAUGCUUACUGGUGGGAUACCUACAGAAUUAAUCAAUUUGAACUUUCUUGAAGUCCUAAAUCUUUCCAAUAACAAUCUUGUGGGAGAAAUACCUCAAGGAAAACAGUUCGGUACUUUUUCCAAUGAUUCCUAUGAGGGAAACUCAGGGUUAUGUGGACUCCCACUGACAAUCAAAUGCAGCAAGGACCCUGAACAACAUUCUCCACCUUCAACUACCUUCAGGAGAGAAGGAGGAUUUGGAUUUGGUUGGAAACCAGUGGCUAUAGGAUAUGGAUGUGGAAUGGUCUUUGGAGUUGGAAUGGGAUGUUGUGUACUGUUAAUGGGAAAGCCUCAAUGGCUUGUGAGAAUGGUUGGAGGUCAACUAAAUAAAAAGGUGAAAAGGAAGACAAGGAUGAAAUCUAAUGAAAAUGGUAGCAUAAUGAAUUAGAUGAUAUGUGGCAUGACUGUAGAAUGUCUUCUUGCACACCUUCCUGUUGAAAUUCAAUUCUGCCUUGUUGAAAAUAAAACAUAAGGGCCAAAACCUUAUCACACUGCAUUGCAUAUGCAUGGGAGAUCUGUUUCAAAGUUUAGUUGUAAUUGUAAUAUGAUGUGUUGUACUUUUUUUUUUCUCUGUUGGAUAGAUGAGUGUGAUGUACUUUUUUCCCCUUCCUUUGCUACUGAAACUCGGGUCUAAAUCAUCAUAAGUUUGAUGUUCUUCAUUUUCCUUGAGCGGGCUAUUUUGUUUUAUUUAAUACAUAUAAUUGUAGUAUUGGUUAUAUAAUAAUAGUUGUUGUUGUAUACUCUUAAAAAUGUUCUGCAUUCGUCGUUGCUAGAAACAAAAUAUUUUGUGUUAACAGUAUGUAGUUAUAUUUCAUUCGAGGAGCUUAGUUCACGUACAGUAGUUUUCCUAUUUCGUUUCUAACUCCCUCAUGCACAUAUUGUCUUACAUGGCAAUUCUAUGACUGGAUGACCAUAUAAAAAAACUUGACACAGAUAUGGAAAGAUUUUCAAGAGCUGUCCUGAGGAGGUUCAUUGUCUUGAUGACUAGGAUGGGAUUGAGUUUGAAUCUGUUUUAUACUAGCCAGCAAUUUCUAGGCCACACCAACCUGCUGCAAAGUACUUGGGAGGCACACAAAAGACUAAGAAUGCUGUUUUCUGAACCUUUAUCAAUUGAUGGCCUGAAAAAAUAUUUUUCAUUUCAUAAAUACUCAGGCAAUGGAAACAUUAGAUAAAUGCCUAGGAAGGAAAGUGUUAGAAUUAAUGUCUCAUGUGAGAGGUAUAUGACUUAGUAGGGACUAAUAAAUAAAUAAUUAACGAUUAAAGGCUAAAUUGUAAUUGGGCUUAAUAGGAGAAGUUUCUAGGUUAACUGCUACUUGAUGGGAGUAGUGGUUAUAAAAGGGGCUUAAUACCCACUAACGUGAAAUAAGGUCCCCUUCCUGACCAAAAAGUGCUCUUUUCUCACCCAUAGCCAUCACGAACGGAGAGAGACAGAAAAGAAAGGUCAAAGGAAGUGAAAUCCUAUUUCUCUCAUCUUCAAAGAAAUCAAAGUGCACCAGAGAGAAGUUCCUAUGGAGAAAGGUACACAUCAUUAUCUAUUAUUCUUUAUUGAUUGUUUGUGAGAAUCAUAGGUUUCAAGAUCCUGUUGGUUUUCUAUAAUUGAUAGUCUAGGAAACCCCUUAAGAAUUUUUACAUGUGGUAUCAGAGCAUGUGUUAUGAAAUUUAUGAUUCUCCAAGAAUGAUUUAAUUUCUCCCAAUUAUGUAUGAACCCUAAUUAUGAAAUUUAGGGAUAAUUUAAUUUCUCUCAAUUAUGUAUGAACCCUAAUUAUGAAAUUUAGGGAUAAUUUAAUUUCUCCCAAUUAUGCAUAAAUCCUAAUUAUGAAAUUUAGGAAUUUUAUUUUCCGCUGCAUUUAUUGUUUUAUUGGUAAUAUUUUAUUAUUGUUGAAUACCAAUUUUUGGAGAAAGUAUAAAUAUUAUGUAAAUUUGGAGAAAACGAUUGUGGCUGCCACUAUCUAUUUAUAAUGGAAAAAGAAAGCGUGAGUUGCAAUUCCAAUUCAUGGAAAAGCUAUGGCUGCUACACGUAGGUUAGUAAGUGAAGGAAUUUUGAAAAGCUGCGCACUGCGCAGGUAUGUUUGUUCCUAUAAGAAAUUUUGGAAAUUGCUAUUUCCAACCUUAUGUUUGCUAUUUCCAAUCCCAUUUAAUUUUUUUUUUCUCCGAAAAAUUAUUGUUGAACGUGAUUAAAGGAUUGAAAAUUUAUGUUCUGUAAUUAAAUUAAUGUGAAUGUUUUGCAAUUAUUGAUAGUAGUAAAUAUAUGUAUAUGCUACAUAUUUGCUUGAACGUGUUGGAAUGUAAAAACACAAAUAAAUGCAAAUCUUAUUUUAUGGUCUGGAAUGAAAUUAAUAGAAUGACUAUGAAUUGUUAAUAGCAAUAAGUAUGUGCAGGCCAUACAUAUUUGGUUGGAAUUAAAUGUAUGUUGAAUUUGUUAGUCACCAAAGUGACCAAAUUUGUAAGAUUAUUUAAUUCCAAAUCAAUGAUUAUUUCAAUUAUACUUGGUUGGAAUUAAAUGUAUGUUGAAUUUGUUAGUCACCAAAGUGGCCAAAUUUGUAAGGUUAUUUAAUUCCAAAAUUAAUGAUUAUUUUGAUUACUCAUAGAAUAAUGGAUGCUAAAUUAUAUGGUUAUUGGUUUAUGGGUAAUUGAAAUUCAUUGUUAUAAGGCAUUUAUGGAUCGCUCAAAGGUUGAUUAGUUGUUCUUAUAAUUAAUGAAUAUAAUUGUAGACGAUUUGUGUGUAUCAUUAGUUUUAUUUAUAUGCCCAAAGGAAAUAGAUACUACUAAUUGGUGCAUAUUUAAUUGCCAAAUAAUGUUAAAAUUUUAUUAGUAUCAUUAUGUUUGUAUGUUGUGUGUUGAUGUAUCACCCAAAGGAGAACAUCAAUAUACAUUGACUGUUAUCUGAAUGAAUCAUAUGUGAUUGAGAGAUGGAAAUACCAUUGUUUCCACGUUUGAUCUUUAUUCCUAAGAUCACAUCCGCCUCCCCCAUAUCUUUCAUAUCAAACUUAGAAGACAAAAAUGCCUUAGUUUCAUCAACUUGAUCUUGGUCGGUACCAAAGAUCAACAUGUCGUCUACAUACAGACAAAUGAUAACUCCUUUGCCAUGAGUAUCAAACUUGCUGUAUAGACAUUUAUCUGCUUGGUUUAUAACAAAACCACUAGACAACACAACCUCAUCAAAUUUUUGAUGCCAUUGCUUAGGCGCUUGUUUCAAGCCAUAAAGAGAUUUCAUCAGUUUACACACCUUAUUUUCAUUUCCUGGCAUAACAAACCCUUCAGGUUGUUUCAUGUAUAUCUCUUCAUCCAAUUCACCAUUUAAGAAUGCAGUUUUCACAUCCAUUUGGUGAAUCAUCAGAUUGUGGAUAGCAGCAAGUGCUAACAACAGUCUAAUAGUGGAUAUCCUAGCUACAGGAGCAUAUGUAUCGAAAAAAUCAAUACCCUUCUUUUGCCUAAAGCCUUGGAUAACCAAUCUGGCUUUGUACUUGUCAACAGUACCAUCCACUUUCAUCUUUCUCCUAAAGAUCAUCUUACAUCCUAAUGGCUUACAUCCAGGAGGUAAGUCAACCAAUUUCCAUGUAUUAUUUUGCAUGAUGGAAUCCAUCUCACUUUGGAUUACUUCUUUCCAGAAUACAGCAUCCCUUGAAGCCAUUGCUUCACUAAAAGUCUUUGGGUCUUCCUCAACAUUAAGGCAAUAUUGAUAUUGAAAUUCAAUAUCAUUCCUUGACCCUUCAACCAAAUAGAGUUGAAAGUCAUCACCAAAUGACUUAGCUUUUCUUACUCUCGUACUCUUUCUAGUUUCAGUACUAGUUAAAGGUAUAUCCUCAAUAUUAACUGAGACUUUCGACAUGGAAUUCAUGUCCUUUGGCCUAGGUAUAGAUGUAAACCUUUGUUCAUGGGAAAAUGGGACAGAUUGUUGCUCUUGGGCUGGAGUCACCUGCCACCCCAUCUCAGGUCACGUCACUCAGCUCAACCUCAGCUGCAAUGGCCUUUACGGCAAUAUCCAUCCAAACAGUACGCUUUUUCAUCUUUCUCAUCUUCACUCACUCAACCUUGCUUUCAAUGAUUUUGAUGAAUCUCAUUUGUCAUCUCUCUUUGGUGGGUUUGUGAGCCUCACUCAUCUCAACUUGUCUAAUUCGUACUUUGAAGGGGAUAUUCCUUCCCAAAUCUCUCACCUUUCCAAAUUAGUCUCACUUGAUCUCUCAGAUAACAACCUCAACGGUUCAAUCCCAUCCUCACUCUUAACCCUCACACAUCUUACUUUCUUGGAUCUCUCAUAUAACCAACUCAGUGGUCAAAUCCCAGAUGUCUUUCCUCAGUCAAACAGCUUUCACGAAUUGCAUUUGAAUGAUAACAAAAUAGAGGGUGAGCUGCCAUCAACACUUUCAAAUCUUCAACAUCUCAUUCUCUUGGAUCUUUCAGAUAAUAAAUUGGAGGGCCCUCUGCCUAACAAUAUAACAGGGUUUUCAAACCUAACAUCGUUAAGGUUAAAUGGAAACUUACUGAAUGGGACAAUUCCUUCUUGGUGUUUAUCUUUGCCAUCUUUGAAGCAGUUAGAUCUAUCAGGAAACCAACUCUCUGGGCAUAUUAGUGCAAUCUCAUCAUAUUCCUUGGAGACAUUGUCUUUAUCCCACAACAAGUUACAAGGCAAUAUUCCAGAAUCAAUUUUUAGCCUUCUAAACCUUUAUUACUUAGGUCUAUCAUCAAACAAUCUAAGUGGAUCUGUCAAAUUUCAUCGUUUCUCCAAGCUUCAAUAUUUGGAAGAACUUCACCUUUCAUGGAAUGAUCAGUUAUCACUAAAUUUCGAAUCCAAUGUCAAUUAUAAUUUCUCUAAUUUAAGGUUGUUGAACUUAUCUUCUAUGGUUUUAACUGAAUUUCCAAAAUUAUCGGGAAAAGUCCCAAUUUUAGAAUCACUCUAUUUGUCCAAUAACAAACUUAAAGGUAGAGUGCCACAUUGGUUGCAUGAAAUAUCGUUAUCUGAAUUGGACCUCUCUCAUAACCUAUUGACACAAUCAUUGCACCAAUUCUCGUGGAACCAACAACUCGGUUCCCUUGAUCUUAGUUUUAACUCAAUCACUGGUGACUUCUCUUCCUCAAUUUGCAAUGCAAGUGCAAUUGAGAUUCUCAACUUGUCUCACAACAAGUUGACAGGAACCAUUCCACAAUGCCUUGCAAACUCAUCAUCCCUUCUAGUUUUGGAUCUACAACUGAACAAGCUUCAUGGCACUUUGCCAAGUAUCUUUUCAAAGGACUGUCAGCUCAGAACUCUGGAUCUCAAUGGCAACCAAUUAUUAGAAGGUCUUUUGCCAGAAUCUAUAUCCAAUUGCAUUCAUCUGGAGGUUUUAGAUCUUGGAAACAAUCAAAUAAAGGAUGUGUUUCCCCAUUGGCUUCAAACUCUACCAGAAUUGAAAGUAUUGGUUUUGCGAGCCAACAAGUUGUACGGUCCCAUUGCCGGUUUAAAGAUCAAGGAUGGAUUCCCCAGUUUAGUCAUCUUUGAUGUCUCUUCCAACAACUUCAGCGGCCCAAUACCAAAAGCCUACAUACAAAAAUUUGAAGCGAUGAAGAACGUUGUUAUAGAUACCGAUCUGCAGUACAUGGAAAUUUCUUUUUCUUAUGGUGGAAACAAGUACAGUGAUUCUGUGACUAUAACAACAAAAGCAAUUACUAUGACAAUGGAUAGAAUUCGAAAUGACUUUGUAAGCAUUGAUUUAUCGCAAAACGGAUUUGAAGGAGAGAUUCCAAAUGCCAUUGGAGAGCUUCAUUCACUCAGAGGACUCAACCUUUCCCAUAACAGACUUAUUGGUCCUAUUCCCCAAUCCAUGGGAAAUUUGACAAACUUAGAAUCAUUGGAUCUCUCCUCAAAUAUGCUCACUGGUCGGAUACCUACAGAAUUAACCAAUUUGAACUUUCUUGAAGUGCUAAAUCUUUCCAAUAACCAUCUUGCGGGAGAAAUACCUCGAGGACAACAGUUCAAUACUUUUUCCAAUGAUUCCUACAAGGGAAACUUGGGGUUAUGUGGACUCCCAUUGACAACAGAAUGCAGCAAGGGCCCUGAACAACAUUCUCCACCUUCAACUACCUUGAGGAGAGAAGCAGGAUUUGGAUUUGGUUGGAAACCAGUGGCUAUAGGAUAUGGAUGUGGAGUGGUCUUUGGAGUGGGAAUGGGAUGUUGUGUAUUGUUAAUAGGAAAGCCUCAAUGGCUUGUGAGAAUGGUUGGAGGUAAACUCAAUAAAAAGGUGAAAAGGAAGACAAGGAUGAGAUCUAAUGAAAAUGGUAGCAGAAUGAAUUAGUUGAUAUAUGGCAUGACUGGAGAAUGUCUUGUUACAUACCUGCCAUCUUUGAAAACAAAACUUAAGGGCAAGAACUUGAUCACACUGCAUUGCAUGGGAGAUCUGGUUCAAAGUUUUGCUGUAAUAUGAAUGUGUUGUACUUUUGCUUUUUUGUGUGUUCUUCUUCGUUUGUUGUGUAGAAGAGUGCGAUGUAUUGAGUUGCAGUUUUGAUUUAUUUAAUACGUAUAACUGUGGCAUUAAUUGGUUGUAUAAUAAUAGAUGUUGUAUAUUUUUAAAAAUGCUAUGUAUUGGCCAAUGCUAAAAUAUCUUGUAUCUUAAUUCAAGAGCUGAAUUCACGGUUUUAGCUUCCAUUGUAGUUUAUUUAAUUAAUUUUCUAACUAUUUAAGCACCGUGACAUGGCUUUAGAAGCUGAGGUCGUCCAGGGCGUAAGUAUAAGAGCACAAACAAUGCAUACUAAAGGAAGGCUAUGGGUAUAGCCUAGGCCUCAUGGUCCGUAGGAUAUCACAUAUUUAUUUUUUAUUAAGUAAUUUUUCCCAAAUUAGAAUAAUUGUUUGGUGAAAAUUUUUCAAAAUUUGAAAUAAAAGUAGCAGUACUAAAAUCAGUUAUAAUUAAAUAUAAACUUUUUCUUUUUCAAUUACUAUUACGAUAAAUUGGUAGUGGUACGUGCUGUAAAUAUUACAUCUACUUAUAAUGUCAGCACCCAAAAAUUAUUUUUAUAAUGUAAAAUUUACAUUGUCAUUAAUUUGCUUUAUUAAUUUUUAUUAUAACUAUUUAAAAUUUAUAUUAUCAUCAUAAAAUCUGAAAAAUCGUAUCUAUAAUUUUUAAUAAGCGUAAAAUUUUGUAAUUUUUAUAAACUUUAGUAAAUAUUAAAAAAUAUAUAAUAUAAUGCUAGUAUUUUUCAAAAAAAUCAACAUUGUCCUUAAAUAAACCAGUGUGCUGUACAAUAAUUCACUUUUAUCAUUCAAAAGAAAAAUUAAAACUGUAAUUCAAAAUAAAAUAAGCAUGAGUGACUUUUAUAAUAAUGACCUUAAUGAUUAAAUAUAUUUAAUUUUAACAAAUACUUAAUUUAUUAAUAAUAUAUUUAAUUUUAACAACAUUCUAAAAAUAAGAUAAUAUCUUUUUUUAUGAAAAUAAUAUCUUAAAGAUUUGAGGAUAUAAAUUUGAAUUAUUUCUGAAUAAAAUCUUGGAUAUGCAAUUAAAUACUUGAAGAAAGAAUUGUAUCAUCCAUAAUAAUCAUAUUGAUUCAAACAAGAUUAUCUUCAAUGAAAUAUACCUAUUGUCAUGAUGAAAAACAUAAGAUGUAAGAUAUAUCUAACAAAAAGCAAAGUUAGACUUAUGUAGAUCAACCAACUAAUCCCUAUACCCACUCAUCACCUGAGCUCAGCCAAAACUCGCUUAAGCCCCAACUGUGCAUGGCUUAAGCUCUUAGCCAACACCACUUAUGCUACAUAAAAACAUGUUAGUUUGCUCAUUUGUUCUUUUCUUGCAGGAAAUCUCUCCAAGUUUGGGCUCACAUUCGUGAUUUGGCUCCUUUCCGCAGACGUUUCACUUCUUUACAGCGCAUUACUGACUCUUUAAUUAGGGGCAGAUCUACAUCAGAUGUUCAAGGAAAAUUACCCUAUAGCAAUUACAGUCUACUGCAUCAGGCUGUUUAGGAACAAGCUGAUUUUUGAAGAUUAUCAAUUUUCUGUACUAUAAGUUAUUAGCAAGAUUAAAUUUCUUAUGUAUCGACGAGCGCAUCUGUUGCAUUUGUUUUAUCAUCUUGAUAUAGGUCUUCUUGUAUUAGGAAGACUUUUGAUUUUUAACUGUCGGGUAUGCCCCGUUUAUUAUUGUAUCGUUUUGGGUUUAAUAUCAUUUACAUUUUCUCCAAAACAUGUUAGUUUUUGUGCCCAUUCUACCUUAAGCGCUACGCAAUUAAUACCACUUAAGCUACUUCAAACUAAUUUGCUCAAAUUAAAAAGAGUAGAUAUGCUACAUUAAAGAGUUUUAUUCCAUUCAAUAUCCCUUCAGAAAGUGAUUUCGCAUUGAAUGUUCCUUCUUUCUAAAAGUGAUCUCUCUCAAAGUGAUCUUUAAAACAAUGUAGAAUUUAUAAAAAAAAAAAAAAAAUUGCGUGUAAUGUGUUCCUUCUUUAACUAAGGGAUCUUUGAACAAUUUAAAAUUUUAUAAACAUUUACUAAUUCUUUUUCUGUCGAUCACCAUAGGCUUAGUAUUAGAAUUUCAAAUUUUAGAUGUGAAAGGACGAAAACUGCAAUGUGAAAAGUGAAAGUUGUUACGUGGAAGUAUAUAUAGUAAAAUGAAAAGAAAAAUCGGAAAGAACAAACUCCGUGUGAACAUCACUAAUUAAAGUUAAAGUUGGACUAAAUUAAAAGAACCAAUAAAAACAAAAGUAAGAUCACUAAUUAAAGUUAAAGUUAAACUAUUAAAAAGAACCAAUAGAAACAAAAGUAAGAGAAAUAAAAGUCAACAACAGCCUAGGUACCUCUCCAAAUACUUGCAAGCUUAAUAAAAUAAUGAAAAUCUAAUAAAAAAAAUGGAGGAAAUAGCCAACACACCUUCUAUAUAUGACCAUGCAUUGUUACAUCUCUACCACAAAAUAUGAAUAUCUAAUCUUAUUGGAAACGAUAUUAAUAAAUGAAAAGAUAAACAUCUCUUUUUAAACCUUAUACAUCAUUCACAUAAUUAUUUCAUGUAUCAUGUUUAACAUUUUUUAAUUUCAAUUUAUAUUUUCUUCUUCGUAAAUAUAAAGCCAUGUACACCCAUUAACAAAGUUCAUCUUGUUUACAGCUUCCUUUAAAAAAAACUGUUGUUUACAACUUAUUCUCCACAUUAAUUAUCUUAAUCUUUUUUUUCAAACAAAGCUCAAUCAAUUUUUCAUAUAAAAAUUAAUUCUAACUUUUAAUUUUAUUCUCAAUAUCAAACAAUCACAUCAAACACUUUAUAAUCAUCCACCAUAUUCCAACAAUAUCCAACUCCUAAAUUGUGACAGAUAUAAGUUUUCUAACUUACAAAUAUUUUAAUUUCUAAGUUAAAUUUGAAAAAUAUUAAUUUAAAAAUAACUUGUUUAAAUAAUAUAAUUGUGAAAAAUAUGUUAAUUUUAUACAUACGCUUUCAACAACUAUCUUAGAAUUAUGUAUUCUUUUUAAUUUAAUAUAACAUUUCUUUUUAAAUAUUUCUAACAUCUUGAAAUUAUAUCAUAUACAAUUAUAUUUUACAAAUAAUUUUAUAAAUGAUAUAAUUUUGAUAAAUGCAUUUUUUAUGUAUAAUUUCAACAAAUAUGUUAUUAUUUAAUUUUUUAUAGCUUAAGGUAAUAUUUAUAUUUUAAAUGUUUUUUCUUCGAAUUAUAUAUAUCAUAAACAAUUAUUUCUAGCGUUAUUUCAAAAUAAAUUUUGGGGAGCAAUUCCAUAAAGUAAGACAAAGGUUUUAGCUUGACAAUUGAAAAAAAUGCAUAAAAAAAGGGAUAUCCUGUGAAGUUCAAGACAAUACAAUUGAAAUGACAAUACUGAAGUGUGAGCACAACCUCGGUAGCAUGUUAUGAGAGGGUUAGAAAAUGAAAUAACAUUACUGAGGAUGAAACUACAAAACUCCAUUGUUUUUAAAACUCAUAAAUCCUUAUAGCUGAAUAGGGUUAAACAAAUUCAUCAAAAUCUCUAUCAUUCUUUUAUAGUAUCAAAUUUAAAUUAUUGUCCUAUUUUUAAGAUAACAAAUUAUUACUGUAAAAAAAGAUUAUAAAUUAUUAAAGAUAAAUUCAUAUAUAUAUAUAUAUAUAUAUAUAUAUAUAUAUAUAUAUAAUUAUAACCAAAUAACUAAAAUUAUUUUUUAUUAACAAAUCUUAUGAAAAAAAAUUAAUUCAAUGAGCUAGCUCACAAGCUAUUUCUGUCCGGCACACCCUAUUUCUUCAUUUGAAACAUUUUUUGUUUGAAUGGUUUAAAUUUAAAUAUGUUUUAAUUCUUGCUAAAAAAUUUAAUUUUGAUUUUUGUCCCUUUUCAAUUAUUGUUAACUUUUUGUCCUUAAUAAUUUUUUUUUUACUUUGGAUUUGUUUACAUAGGACUUUAGAAAAUGAAAUAAAAUUAUUUUUAAAGUUAUCUGAGAAAAAACAGAAAUAUUAUUAGAAACCAAAAAGUUAACAGAAAUUUAUCACAAAUAACAAAAACAAAAUUUAAAGAUUUAUCAAGAACUAAAAAUAUAUUUAAAACGGUUGUAACACAAAAGGAGAUGAAAAAUCAAUCAUUAUGCUAUUCUCCUUGAACAAGAGUUAUAAUUUCCAUCUAAUACUUCUUUUGGAUAUUGAAAUUAUUCGAUGAAACAACUUUAAAUUAAAUUUCAUAGAGCAACUCAGUCCAUACAAUGGAUUGUGUUUUACCUUGACAGUUGAAAAAAUGCAUUAAAAAGAAGGAUUUUCCGUGAAGGUUCAAGACAUUACAUGCAUGCUUAAUUUUAAAUGAUGAUGAUAUAUAUAGUAUAAGGUUAUUUGUUAUUUAUUUGAUGAGUUAACUUAAUAUUUAAUUCCAUCCACUCCACUACUUGCUAAAACUGACCACCCUCUUCCGAUUGACUCAAGGUUUACAAAAUUCGCUCCGUCAUGUUGUUCCAUUCCUAGAUGGUAUUUUAAAGGGAAAAAAUGGUUAAAUAAGGAUAUGACGUAUAAAAAUCAAAUAAAUCGAUCGUGUUUGCAGAAAAAAUGAGUUCCAAAGUCAAGUCAAUUUAAAUUGCAAUUGGGACAACAUUGAUAGUGUGAAAGGGUUAUAAAAUGUAUGUGUCAAUCUGCGUGAGGGAUGGGCUGUUAAGUGUUAAAGCUUAAUUUAGCCACAAAUUUUGCAUAUAGUGUUUUUAUUUUGCCUAUAAAUAUUAAUCUUUGGUUCGUGAUUCCUUGAUCUUUCAUGUAUAUUUUCUCUUAUAGUAAGGGCACGUAAACAGUUUUGGGUAGAAUAUGGAAUCAUGGAUGUGGUGUUUCCUUCUCUGUUCCCAUUUGCUCAUCCUUUAUUUUUCACCCUCUCAUUCCUUAUGCCACCCCCAUGACAGCUUUGCCUUGCUGCAGUUCAAAAACUCCUUCACUAUUAAUACUAGUUAUGACCAUUAUGAAUAUCCUUAUUAUUAUCAUAAAUGUGAUACUGGUUAUUCAAAAACGACAACAUGGGAAAUUGGAGGAGAUUGUUGCUCUUGGGCUGGAGUCACCUGCCACCCCAUCUCAGGCCACGUCACUCAGCUCGACCUCAGCUGCAGUGGCCUUGUCGGUAAUAUUCAUUCAAACAGUACGCUUUUCCAUCUUUCUCAUCUUCACUCACUCAACCUUGCUUUCAAUCAUUUUAAUCAUUCUCAUUUGUCAUCUCUCUUUGGUGGGUUUGUGAGCCUCACUCAUCUCAACUUGUCUUCUUCUGACUUUGAAGGGGAUAUUCCUUCCCAAAUCUCUCACCUUUCCAAAUUAGUCUCACUUGAUCUCUCAUAUAAUAUGUUAAAGUGGAAGGAAGACACUUGGAAGAGAUUGCUCCAAAAUGCAACAGUUUUAAGGGUGCUUCUUUUGGACGAAACAGAUAUGUCUUCCACUUCAAUCAGGACACUCAAUAUGUCUUCCUCUUUGGUUACUCUUAGUUUGAGAUGGACUUGGCUAAGAGGAAAGUUGACCGAUGGCAUUCUCUGUUUACCAAAUCUACAGCACCUAGAUCUUGCAUAUAAUUGGGACAUUCAAGGCCAGCUUCCAAAAGUGAGUUGCAGCACAGCUUCUCUUGGUUUCUUAGAUCUUUCAGGUUGUGGUUUGCAAGGGUCAAUCCCUCCCUCUUUCUCCAACCUCACACUUCUCACUUCCCUGGACCUCUCAAGUAACCACCUCAACGGUUCAAUCCCAUCCUCACUCUUAAUCCUUCCACGGCUAACCUUUCUGAAUCUAAACAAUAACCAACUCAGUGGUCAAAUCCCAGAUGUCUUUCAUCAGUCAAACAACUUUCACGAAUUGGAUUUGAGUAAUAACAAAAUAGAGGCUGAGCUGCCAUCAACGCUUUCAAAUCUUCAACAUCUCAUUCUCUUGGAUCUUUCACAUAAUAAAUUUAUUGGUCAAAUCCCAGAUGUGUUUGCCAGGCUAAACAAAUUGAAUACUCUCUAUCUUGGGGGAAACAAUUUUGGAGGACAAAUCCCAUCUUCAUUGUUUGGCUUAACUCAACUUUCUGAGUUGGAUUGUUCUAAUAAUAAAUUGGAGGGCCCUCUGCCUAACAAUAUCACAGGGUUUUCAAGCUUAACAUGGUUAAGGUUAUAUGGCAACUUACUGAAUGGGACAAUUCCAUCUUGGUGUUUAUCUUUGCCAUCUUUGACGACUUUAGAUCUAUCGGGAAACCAGUUCACAGGGCUGCCAGUGCAUCUAAGUACAAUCUCAUCAUAUUCCUUGGGGAUUCUAUAUUUGUCCUACAAUAAGCUGCAGGGAAACAUUCCAGAAUCAAUUUUCAGCCUUGUAAACCUUACUCUCUUAGAUCUAUCAUCAAAUAAUUUCAGUGGGUCUGUCCACUUUCGACUUUUCUCCAAGCUUCAAAUUUUGGAAAACCUUGACCUUUCACAGAAUGAUCAAUUAUCACUAAAUUUCAAAUCCAAUGUCAAUUAUAGUUUC
rnacentral:lncRNA from 1 species